rnacentral:tRNA from 2 species
GGAAUAAGAUAUUCAAAUAUAAGCUUCUAACUUAUUUUUUAAGCAGCGAAAUUCUGUUUUUAUUCCU